CAGUAGCCACGGGAAAACGGAGGGUGCAAGCGUUAAUCGGAAUUACUGGGCGUAAAGCGUGCGUAGGCGGCUUUUUAAGUCGGAUGUGAAAUCCCUGAGCUUAACUUAGGAAUUGCAUUCGAUACUGGGAAGCUAGAGUAUGGGAGAGGAUGUUAGAAUUCCAGGUGUAGCGGUGAAAUGCGUAGAGAUCUGGAGGAAUACCGAUGGCGAAGGCAGCCAUCUGGCCUAAUACUGACGCUGAGGUACGAAAGCAUGGGGAGCAAACAGGAUUAGAUACCCCGGUAGUCCCUGUCUCUUAUAC
rnacentral:rRNA from 1 species